ACAAAUUUCAAUUGUGCCAAUUUUUGUGGGUAUGCAAAGGAAAGGAGAAAUAGAGGAAAUGAUUAUGGAGUCGAAGCAUGCCAUGGAGCUUUCAUUGUAUAUUACAUAUGUUGGAUGGACGAUAGAGGUGAUAGGCAGUAAGCUAGUAGGUAGCUAUGAAUAUUUGUUCUAUAAUUAAGUUUCUCACAGUUUUUGCAUUUAUGUUCUUGGAUAAGAGUUGAAAAGAUUGCUACUGCUACUUCAGUUUUCAGUAGAUUCUGCAUAGAAGAUCAUUAUGUUAAUGUAGUGCAAAUCCUUUGGGAUUUAGGUGAUAGAAUUAUAUUUGCUUUGAAGAUGCUAAAAAUCUACCUGUAUUUCUUUCCUCCC
rnacentral:misc_RNA from 1 species